rnacentral:rRNA from 1 species
CUCCAGACUCCUACGGGAGGCAGCAGUGGGGAAUAUUGCACAAUGGGGGAAACCCUGAUGCAGCAACGCCGCGUGAGUGAGGAAGUAUUUCGGUAUGUAAAGCUCUAUCAGCAGGGAAUAGAAAAGAAGGUACCUGAAAAAGAAGCCCCGGCUAACUACGUGCCAGCAGCCGCGGUAAUACGUAGGGGGCAAGCGUUAUCCGGAUUUACUGGGUGUAAGGGGGGCGCAGACGGCGAUGCAAGCCAGGAGUGAAAGCCCGGGGCCCAACCCCGGGACUGCUCUUGGAACUGCGUGGCUGGAGUGCAGGAGGGGCAGGCGGAAUUCCUGGUGUAGCGGUGAAAUGCGUAGAUAUCAGGAGGAACAUCGGUGGCGAAAGCGCUUUACUGGACCAUUAUUGACGCUGAGGAACGAAAGCCAGGGGAGCAAAUGGGAUUAGAUACCCGGGUA